CGCCAGCAGCCGCGGUAAGACGUAGGAUGCAAGCGUUGUCCGGAAUUAUUGGGCGUAAAGAGUUCGUAGGCGGCAUGAAAAGUCUGGUGUUAAAGCCCGGAGCUCAACUCCGGUUCGGCAUUGGAUACUUUCAAGCUAGAGUACAGAAGAGGCAAAGGGAAUUCCUAGUGUAGCGGUGAAAUGCGUAGAUAUUAGGAGGAACACCGGUGGCGUAAGCGCUUUGCUGGGCUGUAACUGACGCUGAGGAACGAAAGCCAGGGGAGCAAAUGGGAUUAGAUACCCCAGUAGUCCUGGCCGUAAACGAUGGAUACUAGGUGUUGUAGGUAUCGACCCCUGCAGUGCUGCAGCUAACGCAAUAAGUAUCCCGCCUGGGGAGUACGCACGCAAGUGUGAAACUCAAAGGAAUUGACGGGGGCCCGCACA
rnacentral:rRNA from 1 species